rnacentral:rRNA from 1 species
CCCUUAGAUGUUCUGGGCAGCACGCGCGCUACAAUGGUCUUCGCAAACGGAUGCAUUCUCGAAGGAGAAUGCCAAUCUUGGAAUCUAUGCCUUGGUCGGGACAGUUGCUUGCAAUUUUUCGACUCGAACCAGGAAUUCCUUGUAAUCGUGAUUCAUCACAUCACGAUGAAUACGUCCCUGCCCUUUGUACACACCGCCCGUCGCUCCUACCGAUCGAAGAGUUAGGUGAAUUGUUUUGAUCGAUAAGAUAUGACUAUGGUCAACUCUCGUUGUGAAAUUCUGUGAAUCUGACUGUUUAGAGGAAGGAAAAGUCGUAACA